UCCCUUAGUAGCGGCGAGCGAACGGGGAUGAGCCCAGCGCCGAAUCCCGCGCCCGUAACGGGCGUAGGGAAAUGUGGCGUUUAGGAGAAGCGCUACCUGCGGUUUCGGUACCGGUGCAAGUCCUCGUGACUGGGGCUCUUACCCGGAGAGGGUGCAAGGCCCAUAGCUGCCGGAUGCCGCCGCGGGAAGCGAACUCCUUGGAGUCGGGUUGCUUGAGAGUGCAAUCCUAAGUGGGUGGUAAACUCCAUCUAAGGCUAAAUACUGCCCCGAGACCGAUAGCGAACAAGUACCGUGAGGGAAAGUUGAAAAGAACUUUGAAGAGAGAGUUCAAGAGUACGUGAAACCGCAUAGAGGUAAACGGAUGGAACCUCGAAGGUGCACGUCGGGGGGAUUCAGUCAGACGUCUACCGGGGUGGUGGCGGUUGCCGGACUUUCUGCGAAAGCCGCUCCGCCGUCGCUCACCGGGAUCGUCUGGCGCAUUUCCUCCCGUUCGAGCUACGUCGCAACCGGUUGGGUCACUGAAAGUCUCCGCCGUAAGUGCGGGCGACGGAAGGUGGCGGGCUGCUGAUUCUGUCGGCGGCCCGUGUUAUAUCCUGUCCGCAUGGACGAGAUCGCCCGACCGGGGAUAACCUUAGGCCCUUACGGGCCGUGCCGCGCCCACCCCUCUCGGGGGGAGCGGGGUCCCGGUUCCCAGGCGUCACCGUUGUGUCUGUUCCGCCACAAGCUCUGUCUUGUGCGGGCUGGCGGGUGCGUCGUUGGGGUUCUGGGCCCGCGCGGGUGCCGCGGGUUGCGACGAGUAGGUCGGUCACCCAUCCGACCCGUCUUGAAACACGGACCAAGGAGUCUAGCAUGUGCGCAAGUCAUUGGGUCUUGCUCAGGCCCAUAGGCGAAAUGAAAGUGAAGGACGGCUUUAUGUCGACCGAGUUGGGAUCCCUCUCCCCUCGUGGGAAGGGCGCACCAACGGCCCGAUCCAACGCCGCCACGUCGGCGGGUCGGAGCUCGAGCGCACACGCUAGUACCCGAAAGAUGGUGAGCUAUGCCUGGGCAGGACGAAGCCAGAGGAAACUCUGGUGGAGGUCCGCAGCGAUUCUGACGUGCAAAUCGAUCGUCAGACCUGGGUAUAGGGGCGAAAGACUAAUC
rnacentral:rRNA from 1 species